GACGAACGCUGGCGGCGUGCUUAACACAUGCAAGUCGAACGGAAAGGCCCUGCUUUUGUGGGGUGCUCGAGUGGCGAACGGGUGAGUAACACGUGAGUAACCUGCCCUUGACUUUGGGAUAACUUCAGGAAACUGGGGCUAAUACCGUAUAGGAGCUCCUGCUGCAUGGUGGGGGUUGGAACGUUUCGGCGGUUGGGGAUGGACUCGCGGCUUAUCAGCUUGUUGGUGGGGUAGUGGCUUACCAAGGCUUUGACGGGUAGCCGGCAUGAGAGGGUGACCGGCCACAUUGGGACUGAGAGACGGCCCAGACUCCUACGGGAGGCAGCAGGGGGGAAUAUUGCACAAUGGGAGGAAGCCUGAGGAAGAAACGCCGCGGGCGGGAUGACGGCCUUCGGGUUGUAAACCGCUUUCGCCUGUGACGAAGCGUGAGUGACGGUAAUGGGUAAAGAAGCACCGGCUAACUACGUG
rnacentral:rRNA from 1 species